rnacentral:sRNA from 1 species
GCCAGACGUGGUGGUGCAUGUCUGUAAUCCUAGCAGCUUUAGAGGCUGAGGCAGGAAGAUUGCAAGUUCUAAGCCAGCUUCAGCAACUUAGCAAGGCUCUAAGUAACUUAGUGACACUCUGUCUCUA